UGGACGCCAACUUGGCUUUGCCUUCCAA
rnacentral:sRNA from 1 species